AAUACAAACGUCUUCUUCUUCUUCUUCUUCUUUAAUAUAUUAGGGCAACAGAGCAGUUCAUUCUGGAGUGAUUGAUUACAACCUGAUAGAUGAAGAUGUCAAGGCACUGCAAAAAAUUGACACCAACACGAAGAAGCCAGACACAGAAGUAUGGAUUCAUAUUUUUACAGCACGGAGUACAGAUCAUCUCGAAAGAGUUUUCCAGCAGUAUAAAGAAUACAGCAACCAGGAUAUCGAAGCCACCAUUAAAAAGCUGUACACUGGGGAUGUCUGCAAGUGCCUCACUGCUCUCGUUUGUGCCAUUCAGAAUACACCUCUUUACCUUGCAGAGGUUGUACACAAUUCUUUAAAGGGAUUAGGAAAAAAAGACAAGCCCCUUAUCCGCACUCUUGUAUCCCGCAGUGAAAAAGACUUGCUGAGUAUCCGUGCGGAGUUUCGCAAAAAGUAUGGAAGAUCCCUCUACUCAAGCAUUGAGGAGGCAACUGAUGGGACUUACCAAACAGCUUUACUAUCCAUCUGCAGCGCUGAAGACAUUUAACCUGCACUUACAGCUCUGGAUCCUGAGGACGACCGCAGUCUCCACCUAACGGUAUUCAGAAACUGAAGAGGACUUAGUCAUUUAUUGACAUUCACAGCAUCGGAGUUCUUUACUUUGUAUCAGUUAAUCCUUAAUGUGAAUAAAAAUUCUGCUUAAAAGGCA